rnacentral:rRNA from 1 species
UACGGGGGGAGCAAGCGUUGUUCGGAUUUACUGGGCGUAAAGGGCGCGUAGGCGGCCACUGCAAGUCAGUUGUGAAAUCUCCGGGCUUAACCCGGAAAGGUCAACUGAUACUGCAGGGCUAGAGUGCAGAAGGGGCAACUGGAAUUCUCGGUGUAGCGGUGAAAUGCGUAGAUAUGUGGAGGAACACCGAUGGCGAAGGCAGCCCCCUGGGUCAAAACUGACGCUCAUGCACGAAAGCGUGGGGAGCAAACAGG